GUGGGGAAUAUUGGGCAAUGGGCGAAAGCCUGACCCAGCAACGCCGCGUGAAGGAAGAAGGUCUUCGGAUCGUAAACUUCUAUCCUUGGUGAAGAUAAUGACGGUAGCCGAGAAGGAAGCCCCGGCUAACUACGUGCCAGCAGCCGCGGUAAUACGUAGGGGGCAAGCGUUGUCCGGAAUGAUUGGGCGUAAAGGGCGCGUAGGCGGCCGGGUAAGUCUGGAGUGAAAGUCCUGCUUUUAAGGUGGGAAUUGCUUUGGAUACUGUCGGGCUUGAGUGCAGGAGAGGUAAGUGGAAUUCCCGGUGUAGCGGUGAAAUGCGUAGAGAUCGGGAGGAACACCAGUGGCGAAGGCGACUUACUGGACUGUAACUGACGCUGAGGCGCGAAAGUGUGGGGAGCAAACAGGAUUAGAAACCCUUGUAGUCC
rnacentral:rRNA from 1 species